UCCAUUUUCAUCAUAAAUUUCAAACUUAAGGGAAAAAUAUAUGAAAAUUAGAAGUGUCGUUUUCGGCGAAGUGUUGGAUUCGACCAUGUUUCAUGUUCGGCGAAGUGUUGGAUUCGACCAUGUUUCAUGUUCGGCGAAGCGAUCGAGAACACGUAAUCACACGAAAAUUGCCGAAUGUCAGUUCCACUCAUUAAGUACCAAACAGUUGAUUUUUUUUUAUUUCGAUGACUUAUCAGAAGUCCAUUGAACCACAUUUGUCAUUUUCAAGACUUUGUCAACAAAUAUAUAUAUAUAACGUUAUAAUAGUCAUAUAAAACACGUCUGAUGAACCAAAACUUAUGCUAUGAAUAUUUAGAAGUAAACAUUUAACAUCAUGAUAAGUACAGGGUGUAGGCUGAGUGUUAAACGGUAAACAUGGUAAACAAAAAAUAACUCACUUCUGCCAAAGUGUUAUAAGUCAGUAUUUUUCUGUAAUUUGUUUUACUGAAAUAAGAAAUAAAAUAAUGUAGAGAAGUGAUGCUGCUGAUAGAUAACCUACACACUUUCGUAUGCUUUGAAAAUAUUCUAAACAUUUCGUUACCAAACAUUUUUGUCAUGGAAAUGUCGUCUGCUUCGAAUACAGUGUCUGCUUUGUAAAUUUUCAAUAUAAUGUUACAGGUAUAGAAUUUAAUCAAUUGUCACAUCAUAUGAUUCACAUAAAACUUUAGAUGAAUGUUCUAGUUUUACUCUGACUUUGUAAUCCUUUCAUUCUCAAAUUUCAAAAGAACCAAUUAUCUUUUCUGGGAUAUGUGUAUUCAAUUUGUCCUAUGAUAUCACGUGCUUAUUGGUCAUGAUAGAAAUGCUGUUUUCUCAAACAAAAAUUAAAUGAGAAGUCACAUGAAUGUAAUAUUAAUACAUUCAGUGAAUAGAUCCUUUGAAAACAUAGAACGCAACCUAGCAACAUAAUAGCAGAUUCUGUUGAAGUGAGUCUGUUCAUGAGAGGUUCUGUAAUGUGUAAAACAACUCACGUCACCUGGCACCGGCUUAUUAUAAAAGCGGAAUUCUAUUACAGUAAAAAUGGGUGUACACUAUGAUCCCAGAAGACAAGAAAAUAUCCAAGUAUGGAACUCACGUUAAUGAUGUACUUUGAACAGGAACGUGUUUUGAGCACUAACUUAAAGGUAGUUCGUACUUUGCCUUGAAUACUUGGUGGCACUGUUUGUAAGUCUAUCCAAUAAGAUGUCUUCAAGCUUAUAAAGGGCUGUUCUAUACGUCCUGUGACGUCAUUCAUAGUUUUGAGAUUUUCCUUUUAUCCCAUCAUGUAGAUCUCGAUUUAAGGCGUCACGACUAUUUCUACGAAUGUUAUAAAAUUCGGCCUUCAUUAAGUAUUUAAUACACGACACUUGUUAAUGGACUGGAAAGCCAGACAUGAAAAACAAUGGUAACGCAGUUAAAAUCUCCCAUGUUUUUAAUUCAGCUUCAGACAGUAAGGUCAGGAAAGACAACUCUUUGAAAACGAUUCUCAAUUUACAUAUACGCCAGUCAACUAUGAAAAACAAGGAAUGCCGGGUAACAUCAAUUCUCUGACAAUCUUAUGGAAUUAUAAUUUUUCUCUAACAACCAUAUCGGAGAGAACAGAACACGGCGCAUCUUUUGUCGAGGUUGUUGGUUUUAAAAUAUUUUCAAUCUGAAUAUCAUCAGACUUCCAAAAUGAAAGUCGCGUUUGUCUGUUUUUGCCUAAUAUGGUUGGUAGCAGCAAUGACUGUUGCCAAACCUGCUAAACUUGCAAAAAACAACCCUGAGGAAACUAUGAGCCAAGCUGAUCUUGAGAAGCUCAGAAAUCAAAUGCCAAACUGGAAUAUAGAAGGACUCUAUCCACCCUUUCUUCCGAGAGUGCGAAAUAUUGAACAACCUAAGCGGCGGUCACAAAAAAUCAAGAUCAAAACGAAGCAGUCCAGAAGGAAUAGACGUUCAGUAGUAGAUACUCUAUAGCGGCGGAGACGUUGAGAAUUGUGAAAUUGAGACAGUGUUAAAUUCUUAUUUCUAAAGACUCGUAUAACUUUUUUAUGGCUUUAUCAAUUUAUUGCAUUAUUUUAUAGAUUUUGUAUUGUUCUUUAGAUCAUAAGUACGUCGGUAUGCCUGUAUUGUACAUCUACUAUUUUAUUUAUGAAUAUGCUUCAAGUUAAGAUCUUAAAUGUAUGAAUAACUUCUUUCUGCAGAUUAUUGUUUUGCUAUUAAUACUGUAAAUGUUGUCUGUUCUUACUCGAAUCUAUAUAUGAAAUUUA